UUGACAUGGCUCAGAUUGAACGCUGGCGGCAGGCCUAACACAUGCAAGUCGAGCGGAAACGAGUAGUCUGAACCUUCGGGGWACGAURACGGCGUCGAGCGCGGACGGGUGAGUAAUGCCUGGGAAAUUGCCCUGAUGUGGGGGAUAACUAUUGGAAACGAUAGCUAAUACCGCAUAAYGUCUACGGACCAAAGAGGGGGACCUUCGGGCCUCUCGCUUCAGGAUAUGCCCAGGUGGGAUUAGCUAGUUGGUGAGGUAAUGGCUCACCAAGGCGACGAUCCCUAGCUGGUCUGAGAGGAUGAUCAGCCACACUGGAACUGAGACACGGUCCAGACUCCUACGGGAGGCAGCAGUGGGGAAUAUUGCACAAUGGGCGCAAGCCUGAUGCAGCCAUGCCGCGUGUAUGAAGAAGGCCUUCGGGUUGUAAAGYRCUUUCAGUCGUGAGGAAGGCGUUGAAGUUAAUAGCUUCAUCGUUUGACGUUAGCGACAGAAGAAGCACCGGCUAACUCCGUGCCAGCAGCCGCGGUAAUACGGAGGGUGCGAG
rnacentral:rRNA from 1 species